AUCUACCAUACCUUGCAAGAAGCUCAGAAGACAUGGCAUGCACCAAACUCUCAGUUGUAACGCUUCUCCUACUAUCUGCCUUGUUUUGGGACGUGCAAAGCAGCAUGGGCGCCGCGCCGUGUAAUCUACUCUGCCGUGAAGAUGUCGACUACGUGACCUGCACAUCCUCUGGCAAUAAGAAGCUGCCACCCAAGUGCAACUGCUGCAACCUUCCCGAUGAUUGUGUCCUUCACCUAUCGGAUGGAUCUCAAAUUUCUUGCUAGAUAUCAAUAAUAUAUGUAAACACAUAUCUAAAUAAAGGAUUUAAAUAUGGCCAUGUACUAUGACUACCAUUAAUCGAGGCAGAGCCAAGAUUUAUC